AAAUAGGCUUUACUUAAAGCUAUUAAUACAAACAUUAACAUGUUU
rfam:TPA: Bos taurus chromosome 13, whole genome shotgun sequence.